rnacentral:rRNA from 1 species
UACGAAGGGGGCUAGCGUUGCUCGGAAUGACUGGGCGUAAAGGGCGCGUAGGCGGCUUGGCAAGUCGGAUGUGAAAUCCCUCGGCUCAACCAAGGAAGUGCAUCCGAAACUGCUGAGCUUGAGUACUUAAGAGGAUCGCGGAAUUCCCGGUGUAGAGGUGAAAUUCGUAGAUAUCGGGAGGAACACCAGUGGCGAAGGCGGCGAUCUGGGAAGAUACUGACGCUGAGGUGCGAAAGCGUGGGGAGCAAACAGG